CCUUUCUCAAAGGUUUCUGACAGGGAAGAAUGGUGCCAGGGUGUGUUGGUAAAUGUUUAACAACCAGCGUUCUGAACAAAGAAAAAGGCUUGUUAUGUAAUGUUUGCCAACUUCUUUGAUGUGGACACCCCCGACUUGGCUGAUUUAAAACUACCAAGGUGACAUCACCAUCCUGGCGUGGCAGUGGUGCACAGCAGUGAGUCCUGGAGGUCAUCACACGAUCUGGAGACAGCAGCUAAGAGCUCAAGAGCAGAGAGAGAGUGGUGAAGAAACUGAGGGAGCAGAUGAUUUGUUGAGGUCAAACCCUAUGAAGUAACAUAGAAGAAUUUAAACUCAGGAAAUGUAUUUUGUCACAAGGGUGCAAAGCUGCCCAAUACGGAUAGCGUCCUAUCCUGCAGGGGGACGUGAGUUCACCUACUGCUGAGUCCCACUCCAGUCUGAUCCCCUACUAAAGGAAUCGUGGGGAUUCCCCCUUAUGACUUCCUCUAAUCCUAAUCACCUCCUGAAGGCCUCACCUCCAAAUAUCAUAACCCUGUAACUUUGGAGAUGAGGUUUCCGCUUGAGUUUGGAGAGGACCAACAGUGGGAUAGCUCUGAAGGCAGCUGGGUGCCCAAGUUUACCACAUGAACGCUGUACACAGCAAUACUCCUUCUAAGCCCCUUCUUUGGAUGGCAGUGAUCCCACUGAACUUUCUGGGGACUUCUCAGGUUCCCAGAGUGCAGACUGGUUGUGCUGAGAAGUUGAGGAAGACCAGGACUGGCAAACCAUCCUUCGGCACUAAAAGAAACAGCGCUUCAAAAUGGCAGCCUUAGGUGAACAAUUGCAAAAGAUCCUAGUUUCCUCAUAAAAGAAGUAAGACUAUUUGUGUAGGAUUUGUAGCCUACCUAUUACUGGACUAAAAAUGAGAAAUCUUUUUGUUGUAAUGAAGACCUUAUAGAGAGGGCUAGUGAGUAAUCAAAUAGGUUAUUAAUUUGAACCAUUAAAAAUACACAUAUAUAACUUAAACAUUAUAUUUUAAUUUAAAACCCAUAAAUAUGUACUGAUUUACCCUUGGUUUUUUUCUUUUUUUCCUUCUCUUUUCUUUCUUUCUUUUUUUUUUGAGACAUGGUCUUGUUGUGUAGUCCAAGCUGCUUGAUCUUGAGGUACUCCUCCUGCCUCAGCCUCCUAAAUUCUCAGAUUAGAGCCGUGCAGCACCAUGCCUUGCUUUACUUAUCUUUCUAUGUGUAGCUGAGGUCUCUUCUUUGAGCAUAAAUCAGCUAAUUGUGGUUCUCUAUCAUUUUCAUGUAUAAAGUAUCCCCAUGUUUUCUCUAUGAUUUCCAGUUUCAGUUUCAGCUUUAAAAUGCAGGAAGGACUUCAGGAUUUAUGGACUCUUCAUGACUCUCUUAUAACCGCAAAACUCUCCCAGAGUGCUUUUCUACUUUCCUUCUUCACAAGACAACAUUUACAGGAUUUAUCUUUCUGAUUCAACUUACUUUUUUUUUAAAAAAAACACAGUGGCUAUUUUUUCACAUCCACAUUUUGGCCAUAAGAGUUAUUUACGGAAGUUGUGUAACUGCAAUGAAGAAAGCUAGCUAAGCAGGUUGGGGAGCUGAAUCUUUUGUGAAUGCACAGCUCAGUGAAGUGUGCCACCUCCCAGUGGGGAGGACCAGCUGCUCACACUUACCAAUCAGGCUGUGUCAAGGAGGGAAAGGGCAAUGCAGGUUGAGUUUGUGCACCAGCUCAUUGCAGUGUACUGAGAGAGCUUCCACUGCACUCCUCAAUAUGAUAGAGUUUGAUUAGCUGGACUUUUCGCUAGUGUAUAUACCCAAACCUAAUACAUAUAAUUAAAAUGAAUAAUGAUGUCCAACAUUUAAUGAAUACUUUCCAUGCUUACAGGCCGAGAUAAAUGCUUUAUAUGCAGACUUAUGUAUUUGAUGACAUUUAUUUAAUUUACUUAUUUAUACUAGGGACUGAGCCAAGAGCCUUUGCAUUGAGUUACACCCAUAGUCCUUUUUAUUUUGAAACAGGGUCAGCCUGGCUAAAGUUGCCCAGGAUGUUCUCAAACUUGUGAUCCUCCUGCCUCGGCCUCCCAGAGUGUUGGGAUGACAGAUGUGUACCACCACACCUGGCUUUGUCCCCAUUUUAUAAGUGAACACAUCGAGACAUAGGGAGGUUAUGACCCUAGCCCAAAGUCACCCAACCAGUGUAUGCACAUGCUCUUAAUGAAAUCCAUCAAUGCCCAAAAUAUUUAAUCUUUGCACCAAACUGUCUCAUAUUGCUGCAAUAAAUGUGAAGGGAGAUGACAUGUAGAAGCUGUCAGACAAUCACUGUAAAUUGGAUUUCUCCAGACAAAUACUUUAUAGUUAUUCCCUUUAAAAUUCAAUAUAAACAAUUCUUUUAAUUCUUUGGGGAAGAUACCCAGCUGGGGAAUAGCUGGGUCAAAUGGGACCACUAGCCCUAGUUCUUUGAGGUAUUUCCAUACUGAUUUCCACAGUGGUUGCACCAGUCUGCACUCCCACCAACAAUGGAGAUGGGUUCCUUCCUCUCCACUACCCCGCCAGAAUUUGUUAUUGGUUGAUUUCUUGAUAGCAGCCAUUCUUUCUAGGGUAAAGUGGAAUCUCAG